UACUUCCUGCGAUGUUCGUUACGGCGAUAACUGUUUUGAACCAAUGCUGUUUCAAAGGGAGUCCUACAUAGCCGAGCGGCUGGCAUGCCCCCUAAAGGGGACGUCAAAAACUCAGGCUGCGGACACCCACCUGCGAGUGCGGGUUCAGAAACAUGCACGUCGAACGGCAUAGGCGGGUUUCUC
rnacentral:other from 1 species